rnacentral:lncRNA from 12 species
GGAGGCCGGGACGGGUAAGAGGAACAGAAAGCAGAGGAAGUUGCUGAGCCAGAGCCAAGAAGAGGGGACAGGCUGGGGCGGAAGAGCCUCCCCUGCUCAUGCUGCUUCUGGCCGACGGUGCUGGCGUGCGGGGGCGCUCCAGCUGGACGGUCUUACGCAGUGCACGCCCAGGCAAUGUGUGACUGGUCAUUCAGUUCUUGGAGACAAGACUCAGCCUGGAAAAAUGGAUUUUUAAGGCUGCCCAGGGACGCGAUGCGUUUCAGGAAUGCCGAGGGGGCAGGUGCCACCACCUUCCCAGAGCCACUCCUGUGGGGACCUUGACGAGGACCUCCUGGGUCCCCUCUUCCUUCCUGGAGUCUGCCCCAGAGGACAGCCCAUGACCAACCCCGGGUAGACCCUAUACCUGCCCUCUGACCCUCUUGUGUGGACAUCACCGAUUUUAACUCCUCUGUUUGCUUCUUGGUCUUCACAAAAAUGGCAACAAUGUAAAGAAAUCCUGAAGCAAACAGUGAAUCUAGAAUAUCUGAGGGGAAUGUCUCACAAUUUUCCUUUGAAAUAAAAGAGACAUAUGGACUCUCCA